UUUGCCUACGGGGCGCAGCAGUGAGGAAUAUUGGUCAAUGGCCGGGAGGCUGAACCAGCCAAGUCGCGUGAGGGAAGACGGCCCUACGGGUUGUAAACCUCUUUUGUCAGGGAGCAAGGUGCAGGUCGGGACCUGCUGUGAGAGUACCUGAAGAAAAAGCAUCGGCUAACUCCGUGCCAGCAGCCGCGGUAAUACGGAGGAUGCGAGCGUUAUCCGGAUUUAUUGGGUUUAAAGGGUGCGUAGGCGGGUUGAUAAGUUAGAGGUGAAAUGUCCGGGCUCAACUCGGGAACUGCCUCUAAUACUGU
rnacentral:rRNA from 1 species